UUGUGCACAGCAACCAUAAUAGUAAUGUUUCAUUUAUUGCUUUCAUUAUAUUCUGCUCCAACAUAACUAUUGGAAGAUGGAUCCUUUUGUUAACCCUUUUUGUGGAGGUUAAUCUGCCAGGUUGCCCAUAUUGCUUGGACUCUCGUCUGCCGAAAAGUUUUCUGACAGCACAAAGAUUAACAGUUCCGAACUUGUGCACAGCAUGUUCGAAAAACAAUCCCAGAGGAGAAUUUGAUGUUCUUGCCACACGUUCCUUCAUUUUCUACCAACCUGUAAGAGUAUUUAAACAACACUUUCUUCUUACAAAAGACAACAAGAAAUAUAGUCAGUUGAAUAACAACAUUAAAAUUGAUAAUUGCAAAACAGUAAGAAUUGUGUCAUACUGAACAUCUUUCCAUUCUUCUCUUGUAUCUUUUAUUUUGAAGUUAUGUUUGACAAAAAGAGUCAUCAACGGCAUUCUGCACAUACGAAUCUGCAGAAUAGAUUGUUUCUGCUAACAAAACGCGCUGUGAACAAGACAAGGGCAAUAAUAACAUAGAAAGACAACAUUUGUAGAAGUAUGUACUCAAAACCCAACUUGGAUUUCAUAAAGCAAUUCAAACAUAUACAUGCCUCUUUCUUUCCCCUAAUUACUGAGUAAUCACAAUUUGCAUGACUUGUUUAAGAAUCAUGCUAUAACCUAGGCUAUACUCAACAUCCACCGUAAAUUACUAACAUUCUCUAUGUAGAUCAAACAUAUGACAAAAUUGAACUAAAUAUACUGGUUAAUGGAUAUAAUACUUGCACUAUUUCACUGACAACUAAAUACCCCACGUUCAAUAACAGACCCUGCUAGCAAAUAUCCUGCAAUAACUUGCAAAAAGGUCAAAAGAAAAUAUAACAGACUCCUUUAGGUUUAACAGCAAUCAUCAAGGUUAAUUAAAGAAUCCAGAUCUAAAAGUAAUAUAAAAUAAAUCUAAAAAUUGUAUUAUUGACACAACCCUCCCCCACCAAAACAAAUAAAGGGGAAAAGAGAAUUAAAGAGGCACAUUCAUUCUGCAAACUAUAUUUCAUCAUCAACACAACAUAAGCAAGAAUGAGGGGUCAACCAGUUGUCCAUCACAAACAAAGGCAAUGCCACCACAUGUUGCAGGAGCCAAUGACAACUAAAAGAUCUAAUAUCAACUUACCAAUAGUUUUUUGAACAUUUCAGAGAUCAACUAAAAAGUAAUUGAUAAGGCAAAUGGGAGGAGGGGGAGACAAAAAGAGUAAGCUUAACCUUAAGACCAACUGUAGUGCAGGUCCUGCAGGAUACUUUGAAUUGGGAUUUGAUAUGAUAAAGACGCUAUCCUAAAGGAAAAGGAAAAAUCCAACGAUUGGAUUAGUAGUUGAACAACUUGGAACUUGACCAAUUUAACACACAAGUUGUCUAGUUAUAACAAUAGCGCAUUUACAUCAUGGUACUGGAAAUAGAUAUUAAUGUUAUAUAAGAUAUGUAUACCUUUCCGUCUUUCUAUGUUGGCUUAUCUUCCCAAGGAAGAGGAUGAUGAGAUAAGGAAUCUCAUCCAACAUAAUUAUGGCCAUGCAUUGAUUACUUAGUUGCUUGCUACCAGCCAUGAAACAGAAUUUUGAUAUUUCCAUUUUUUUGCCCUAAUCUAGUAUUCUUUCUGUUUGUUUGGCCUGUUACAAACAAAUCUCCUUAAGUAAUGAUCUGCAGUGAAUUAUUUAUGAAUAUUAGUUUGUAAAUAAAAGGUUACUCCUUCACCAGCUUUUAGGAUAUCCUUACUAUCAAUCAAGUCUUUAUCCUCUAGAGUCGGUGCUUGUUUCUGGGUUGAUUUACUUUACAAAACAACGAAGAGAUUUUUGACACUAUCUUCAUUCUCUAUGCACGUGAAACCGAUGAAGGAUGUGUUAGCUAUCAGGUUAUGAUUGAAAGAAGAUGAUAUUGAUUUUACAAAGUAAACCAUGAUCGGAGUGCAUGAUCAACACGAGAACUGUUAUUCAAGGUAAAUGUGACAUUUGGCUUAUCUAAUAAUAGUAUCUAAUAAAGACUUAUUAUUACCAUUGUUAAUCUCUAAAAGAAUCGGGAAAGAAGCAUUCCUUGCUAACAGUUGUGCUCCUUCAUUUCUGAUGAAAUGGUCCCCAAAAAAGUCACUAGAACUCGUUUUGACUAAGCAAAAUGAUACAUUGUGAAUCCAGAUUAAAAUGAUUUAUUGGGCAUCUACAUUUCCAUCGUGUCUUCAUUCUCUGCACAAGUAAUACUAAAUUGCAUUUGAAAGAAUAAGAGGAGAAUUCUUUCUCUUGAUUGAUCAAAAUGAUUUCCUGAGUAUCUACAUUUCCAUAGUGUGAAUCAUGUAUCUUCGGUGGUUUGAUUGCAACCCACUGCUCCAGGAAUAUAGAUGGAUCAUGCCUUGCAUGCAUAUUUUUUUCUAGAAAUCAGUGUGAAUAUAAGCACACAAACAAAAUAAUGUUAGGAAGAGAAAACACUGAAGAAAAAAUAAAUGACCUUAAAGAUUUGAAGGAAAACAGGCCAACGCUUUCA
rnacentral:lncRNA from 1 species